CGGAGCGUAGUGUAAUGGUAGCACGAGUCCUUUGGGAGGAUUUAGUUCGGGUUCGAGUCCCGGCGCUCCGA
rnacentral:tRNA from 1 species